UGCCUCACAUUUCCUCGCAUAAUUACAAUCAUCAAGCCUUAAUUGCAAACCCAUUAAAUUUGCUGCAUAUAAAUACAAACCGCGGAACAAAUUAGCAAAAAUCGCGAUGAGAAGCCCAUUUCUAAUCGUCACUUUCCUGGUGUUUGCCACGUUUUUGGUUGUUGCCAAUGGCUUGCCCCCAGAUAUCUGGGGCCUAGCGUACGGAGGCGGAGGUCCAGGGGGGCCGGGAGGCAAAGGCGGGCCCCCGCCCAAAGGUUAAACAAGAUGCGGCCCAAAACGAGCAAAUAAAUUUCUUGUGAAAUUAGUCAUUUUUGUCAAUUUCCCCGUUCUUGAAACAUAGAAAUCCACUCGAGAUAACUUAUCUUCUUGUGUUAAAUGUGUGAAGGUGAUUAUUAGUAGUGAAAGUGAGCUGUGAAAUGUCUCGAUUGGUGUUUUUUUGUGCUUUGUGUUUUUUCGUGUCCCGAGGGUCCGCUGAUGUCGCAUCGUGCUAUGCAUGUGCGGGGCCCUUGGCUGAUUGUACCUUUAAUAAAAGGCCGGAUUUUCUCAAAAUGGAUUGUAGCACGUUUAAGGUCGAUGGAAAUAAAAGUCUGAUUGAAAGGAGUUCGCAAUCUGAUCUUUUGGAACUGUUUGAUAGCGAAGUAGCGGCUGCAAAGGACGACUCGGUUCUCGGGUGUAUAACCUUGACAUUCACUCAUGAAAGUGAUUCCCCGAAAGAGCGAGCUUUGAAAAGCUGCGUCCCUGCGAAAGUUUUUAACACAGAUAUUUGCACUUAUAUGGAAGGGGCUGUCGAUUUUAUUGGUGGUCAAAAAUCUGAGUGUCAUUUUUGUAAAAGUGAUGAUUGUAAUUCCGCAAUUUCGAAUAUGAUAAGUGUGACCUUGGUGACGCUUGUGCUUGUGCAAUGCAUUUCUUCAAGUUUUAGCAAUUUUUGUUUCUCAUUUUUUAAUUACUCGUAAUUGUUGAAAUAAACAUAUUUUAAUUUGAAAUAAAAUGUUCAUGAUUAUAAGA